rnacentral:tRNA from 1 species
AGAGGGAUUGCCAAGUGGUUAAGGCAUUGGACUUCAGAUCCAGUGGGCUAGUGCCUGCAUGGGUUCAAACCCCACUCUCAGUA